GAAAAGGAGAAGAGAGAGAGAGAGAGAGAGAAUACGCGAGAGUGAGUGUGCGCGUGUGUGUUGUGAGAAGGAAAGAGAAACAAGCUUUUUGUACCAUCCCCUGAAUCAAUUCCUGCUCAUCACCUGGCACCCUCCAAUCGGAUCGGAUCAAUCGAUUAUAAUUAUCCUAAAUUGUGUUUGUUACUUGAUCGAAGGUGAAGAAAUGCUCGGUGCCGAUUCUCUCGAUAAGGAAAUUUCUGCAACUUCAUUUUAUGGUUUUACCGAUAUCUCUUUCGGAAAGCAUUGUACUGUUUUGAAAUGUUAAUGCGUGCAAUUAUUACGUCUGCGAUAACGGUUCACUGCGAUUGUAAUAUAGACGACAACAAGAAUAUUACAAUAAGUAAUAUAGACGACCGUGAAUUUUUCAACGCUGAAUUCGAAAAAAGAAAGAAACGAACGUGUUAGGGUGACACGGUGGUGGCAGCGGGGAAUGCUGGGGGUGGCGGUGGUCCCGGUGGCGACGAAGCCGUGUUGUGUAAAUCUAUAAGUUUUCAUAUAUUGCAUAAAAUAUGUUUAUUACAUAUUUUCACUAUGCCGACACGUAUUUGUGUGCCUCACUACCCUCCUACCACGUAUUUUAUCCUACGACUUUUACCUAAUUCUUUCGUCGUGCCGAUGAUGAUCUUGCUGUGACCCGAGCUUGAAUAAAUCCUCAUCUUCGAAUCUCGACACGUGGAAGUGUCGAGAUAUUACGAGAUAUCCAACGGGAAAUGAAUCCGGAUACAAGGGAAAACAAAAAGGAUUCCGAGAAACGCGGGAUUGACAGACCACACACAGUGAAAUAUAAAACACUUGUCGCUCGGAUAGAUAUUAUCAUUUCGAAGUUCACCGCGACGAAAAACGGGACCUGGUUACGACGAACAACAAAGCUACACGCAACAUACAGGCAUUCGUUAAUUGCAUUCACAGAGCACACACACACACACACACGGACACCUACUCUACACGUACACAUACGCGUGCGCGCACGUGUACUUACGAAUUAUAAGAAUCGUUCUUGAUUCCGACAGAGAAAUUAUUACUGUACCGAAAUAGUUUGUAUCUUCCUUUCCCACCCAUAGUUGCUUACAUUUGUAUACAGCAUAUAAUACAUUAAAAGAUUAUGUAAGUAGUUUUUUAAAGAAUCCGACGAGUUCACUUUCUUUUACAGUGUCGUCCGCGCUUUGGAGACACUUCUAUCUUGCUUCUCUUUCAUGGGCAUUUUAUUUUCGACUGUUUAUCUUUUGUAAUGUUUCAAUGAAAUCGAAAAUUACGAGACCAAAGGGUUCACGCGAUGGUAACAAUGAAACUAUUACUUACAAUGAUCGAUUGUAAGAAGACAGCGAAAUUGAAAGAACGCAAUUUAUCGUUUUCAAGUCUGUAGAAAAUUCUAGACAUCGAGGGAGAGAAGUGAUCAAUUUAGCGUGGAAUCACCCCUUAAAUCACCCCUUUUAUUCUGCAAGAGCAGAAUUCUUUUCUAUUGGAAGAUGUUUAAAAGAGACCGAUUCCGUCAAAUUUUUUGGGUGUUACAACUGCAAAGCGAUGCUCUUCUGGUGAUCUUCUGAUAGAUUUUUGAAAGGCCGACAAGAAGAGAGAGAGAAUUGGAAAGGCAAACAAGGUUCAACUUCGUCACUUUUGCGACCGGCUCUUCAGACCCAGCCGUUCACGGGCACGCACUCGGAAAAGUUAGAAUUUCCGCAUCCAAAAAUUCCUUCUGUCCCACUUUGCUGGUCCGCUGCGAUUACAAUGCGGUAGUAUUUUUUUCGAAUGUUUAAAGACGCGACAAAAAUAAGAAUAAAAGAUAAGAAUUUGUUUAUAACUUUCAACGUUGUAAAAAUAAUUUUUCAAUCGAAUCAACAUUUGUUUAGAACGGUGUAUCCUUCCCAAGUAAAACUAAAAAAAGUACAUCUCGACACGAUCAAUGGUUUCCGAGAUCAAAGUUCGUAAAGUACAACCCAUUUUUGCAAAAAUGUACAAAAAUCGUAAAUUUCAGAGCCCUGUAUUUUUUAAACAAAUUCGAAAUUAGUAAAAUGACAACUUAAACCCCCCUAAUAUCAUAUGAACUAUAUCAUAUUUCAGUCUGUACAAAAUUCCAGACAUCGAGGGAGAAAAGUGAUCGAUUUAGCGUGGAAUCACCCCUUAAAUGUAUAUCUAUGUAGGCUUAACAAUUGCUCUACGAAUUGAACAUAUUUGAUAACGUGUUUAUCGAACAUAUUCGAUAAUGACAUUUGCACGAAACGUAUGAAAUACAAAUAUAAUUUGCACCUACAUCUUUAGUUAAGGUUGAAUUUUAUGCAGCAAGAUAAUGAAUCUGCCAUCAAACCCACUUUACAUAUAUACCCUAGUAAGGGUAGGCUUGUACGUACCGUAAAAGAGCAUCAUGUAUUUCGCAUUUCCGGAGAAAAGAAACGACGCCAUAAUUUUAAAUUAAUUAAAAAAACUGUAAGCUCACUAUUCACACGGAAAUAUCCUCGUACGGAACAAGAGCAUACUGACUUCGAUAAAUAUCCAUACAAAAUGACUUGUCCAAAUUGCUUAAGUUAUAUAAAAACGGAUGUCUAUUAUUAUAGUACUCGUGACACGCACAAGCUUGCUGCAACAUUGACUCCUGUGUGCAUGUGCAUGGUACCGUAUUGCGUUACGAAGUUCAAAAACGCAGCUCACUAUUGCCCCAGGUGCAAUAUUUAUUUGGGAACGAAAUUUGGAUCAGCAAAAUACUUAUUCUGUUGAAAUGUGAUACUUCGUAAAAGUAAUAAAGAAGUCCCGGCAUAAAUUUAAUCUUAUAUCUACAGAGUGUCCCAGAACUCCUGUUACAGCCGGAAGGGGUUAAUUUCUGAGGUGAUUUGAAAUAACUUCUUCCGUAGCAAAAAACGCGGACUAAUCAAAGAGCAAGUACAGCGGACGAAUAGCGGCAAUCCGUACUUUUUAAUUAAUAACUUGUUAACAAAACCGCGAAGAAAAAAUUUCAUUAAAGAAAAAAAAUUUUUUAAAUGACCUGAAGUACAUAUUAGCCCUUUCCGUGUAUAACGAAAGUUCUGUAUAAUGCUAUCCUAUGCUAUCCUAUCCUUUCAUAUUCUAUCCUAAUCAUGAAAUAAAUUAAUAACACUGA